rnacentral:rRNA from 1 species
AGCGAACGCUGGCGGCAGGCCUAACACAUGCAAGUCGAACGAAGCCUUCGGGCUUAGUGGCGGACGGGUGAGUAACACGUGGGAACGUACCUUUUGGUUCGGAACAACUCAGGGAAACUUGAGCUAAUACCGGAUGAGCCCUUAGGGGGAAAGAUUUAUCGCCGAAAGAGCGGCCCGCGUUAGAUUAGCUAGUUGGUGAGGUAAAGGCUCACCAAGGCUACGAUCUAUAGCUGGUCUGAGAGGAUGCUCAGCCACACUGGGACUGAGACACGGGCCAGACUCCUACGGGAGGCAGCAGGGGGGACUCUUGCGCAAUGGGCGAAAGCCUGACGCAGCCAUGCCGCGUGAAUGAUGAAGGUCUUAGGAUUGUAAAAUUCUUUUACCAGGGACGAUAAUGACGGUACCUGGAGAAAAAGCCCCGGCUAACUUCGUGCCAGCCGCCGCAGUAAGAC